UCCAGACUCCUACGGGAGGCAGCAGUGGGGAAUAUUGCACAAUGGGGGGAACCCUGAUGCAGCGACGCCGCGUGGGUGAAGGAGCGUUUCGGCGCGUAAAGCCCUAUCGGCAGGGAAGAAGGAGGACGGUACCUGACUAAGAAGCCCCGGCUAACUACGUGCCAGCAGCCGCGGUAAUACGUAGGGGGCAAGUGUUAUCCGGAUUUACUGGGUGUAAAGGGGGCGCAGACGGCAGCGCAAGCCAGGAGUGAAAGCCCGGGGCCCAACCCCGGGACUGCUCUUGGAACUGCGCGGCUGGAGUGCAGGAGGGGCAGGCGGAAUUCCUGGUGUAGCGGUGAAAUGCGUAGAUAUCAGGAGGAACACCGGUGGCGAAGGCGGCCUGCUGGACUGCAACUGACGUUGAGGCCCGAAAGCGUGGGGAGCAAACAGGAUUAGAUACCCCCGUAA
rnacentral:rRNA from 1 species